CAUUUGCUUUUACCCGUUCUAACUUGAUUUGUUUCUCCUCUCCUCAGUCCUCAACCCUCAUCAGUCAUCAUCUGCAGAUCUGCUCAUACUCGUUACUUCUUCCACUGUUUCAUAGUCUCAUGGCUUCCCUUGGCAAUUCCUCACACCAUAUUUUACAGACCCAACAAAUCUCCACGAAUUCCUUCCCCAAUCUUAACAAUUCCCUAUGUGGUACAUCAAGAGAUGUCUCAUUUCUUAGAUUUGGGAUUCCAAGGUCUCGUCUUGGACUUCUUAGGCUCUCUAACCAUGCAGAUGCACACCCUUCCAUUGAUACAACCCCAAUUUUCGAACUUCCGCUCCUAUCAUCUGAAGAGGUUGAAACUUUUCAGGCUAUCGAGAGGUUAAGAUUGUGUAGAGUGAGGCAUAAGGGCAAACAACAAUAUCUGGCUAUGUACUCUAGUAUAUUUGGAGGAAUUACAACAGACCCUGCAGCAAUGGUGAUCCCCAUGGAUGAUCAUAUGGUACAUAGAGGGCAUGGAGUAUUUGACACUGCUGCGAUAGUGGACGGUCAUCUCUAUGAACUGGACCAGCAUCUUGAUCGUUUUGUGCAGUCUGCAUCUAUGGCAAAAAUCAACCAACCAUUUGAUAGGGAAACCAUGAGAAGCAUGCUUUUACAGACAGUAAGUGCUUCCAAGUGUAAAAACGGCUCUUUAAGAUAUUGGCUUUCUGCAGGAUACGGUGAUUUUCUUCUCUCUCCGUCUGGUUGUGUUGAGUCUACAUUUUACGCCAUUGUGUAUCAAAGCUCAAACUCAUAUGAUCUCAAGGGCAUCAAAGUGAUUACUUCUUCCAUGCCAAUAAAGCCGCCUGUGUUCGCUACAAUGAAGAGUGUCAAUUACCUUCCAAAUGCACUAUGCCAAAUGGAAGCAGAAGAAAAUGGUUGCUUCGCCUCUAUUUGGCUGGAUUUGGAAGGAUUUAUUGCUGAGGGUCCAAAUAUGAAUGUGGCUUUUGUUACAUAUGAAAAAGAGCUUUUGAUUCCAAGAUUUGAUAACGUUUUAAGUGGUUGCACGGCCAAGAGAGCGCUUAGUCUUUCACAGGAGCUUGUGAAGAAGGGUGAGAUUCGAGGAGUAAGCGUGAGAGAUGUGACUGUGGAAGAAGGGAAAAGGGCUGAAGAGAUGAUGCUUUUUGGCAGUGGUGUUCUAGUGCGUCCAAUUAUUCAGUGGGAUGACCAGGUCAUUGGUAAUGGAAAAGAAGGCCCUAUUGCUCGAGCACUUCUUGACCUCCUUCUGGAGGACAUGAAAUCAGGCCCAUCCACAGUUCGGACACCUGUUCCUUAUUCGCAAAGUGCAUAGCGUGCUGUUGUCUGUUGGUGUUCUCCCCUGUAAGAGAAUAUGAUGAAAUCUCGAACUUAGGAUCAACACUUAGAUCCAACAUCAGAGGUUGCUGGUCCUAGGAGGCAAAGUAUCAUUUUGUAAAUUGCUAUGGAUACCUAUUUGUUUCGGCCUUACAACCCGCUUUCACUCCAAUACCAAAUCCAAUUAUAGGCGAAGGAGAAAGCGUGUAAAUAUGUCUAAGAGUUUAUCGGGGCCAACUUCAAAUCAAGAGAUUUAAAUGAAUAAAGUUGUUUAUGAACAAGGAUGUCUCUCUCCCCUUCUCUUUCAAUGGUUUUGGAUGUAGGGAUCGAGCCAUUAUGAAGAUGAAUAGUGUUCAUCCAGCGUCAUCAUGCUUACGGAAUAAAUUUCUUUUAUCGCUUAUAAUUGUUGUUGAAUUACCCUUUUCUUUUUGGUACACGAGAAAAAGUUAAGACGUCUUUCUCUCAAGAGAGUUGUUGAAUUACCUUAAUAGUGAAUGUCUUUGUCAAACUUUGCCUACUUGGUGGAUAAUCUAUCUAUCGGAGAUAGACAUUGAAGCUGGUGAAAUCCAUAUUUAUAGUGGAUAGUUUAUCUAUUGCGUAGAUAUAUCUAUCUUGGUCUG